rnacentral:rRNA from 1 species
GACGUAGGGCGCGAGCGUUGUCCGGAUUUAUUGGGCGUAAAGAGCUCGUAGGCGGCUCGUUGCGUCGGCUGUGAAAACCCGCAGCUCAACUGUGGGCUUGCAGCUGAUACGGGCGGGCUGGGAUUCGGUAGGGGAGACUGGAAUUCCUGGUGUAGCGGUGAAAUGCGCAGAUAUCGGGAGGAACACCAAUGGCGAAGGCAGCUUGCGGGGACGGUACUGACGCGUGAGACGGCGAAAGCUAGGGAGCAACGGG